AACGAACGCUGGCGGCAUGCCUAACACAUGCAAGUCGAACGAGAUCUUCGGGUCUAGUGGCGCACGGGUGCGUAACGCGUGGGAAUCUGCCCUUUGGUUCGGAAUGACAGUUGGAAACGACUGCUAAUACCGGAUGAUGACGAAAGUCCAAAGAUUUAUCGCCAGAGGAUGAGCCCGCGUAGGAUUAGCUAGUUGGUGUGGUAAAGGCGCACCAAGGCGACGAUCCUUAGCUGGUCUGAGAGGAUGAUCAGCCACACUGGGACUGAGACACGGCCCAGACUCCUACGGGAGGCAGCAGUGGGGAAUAUUGGACAAUGGGCGAAAGCCUGAUCCUGCAAUGCCGCGUGAGUGAUGAAGGCCUUAGGGUUGUAAAGCUCUUUUACCCGGGAUGAUAAUGACAGUACCGGGAGAAUAAGCUCCGGCUAACUCCGUGCCAGCCGCCGCAGUAA
rnacentral:rRNA from 1 species